AGUUACAGGGUGCCUUUAUGAACUUCUCCUCUCUGACAGUAUAUACAGGCAGAUCCACAGAGCUAAAACACACUCCAUGGAGAGGCAGUGUAACAGGGAAUGGCCCUCUCAUUUCAGCAUUACUGACUGCGAAGCUCUUCAACUGACUGCGCAAUGCUGAUGGCAGAGCCAGGGUGAAGAUGGACCAUGCUGGAAUUUCCUUCUUGCAGUCUGAUGUACCUCAGAAAAUGACACUGAACAGCUCAGAAUAUCUCUGAGGUGACGGUAUGGUCACCCAUCUGUAUCUCGCCUGGGAGCAUUUUGCAGACCUUUUGAGGCUUAGUUGCUCAAAACAUCUUAAAAUUAUGUUUCAC
rnacentral:lncRNA from 1 species